UCUCCUUCCCCGCGGUGUGCUCUGGCGUCCCCCGACCCCCCCUCCAAGCAGGUAUCCAGCCCCGCGGUGUGCUCUGGCGUUCCCCGACCCCCCCUCCAAGCAGGUCUCCUUCCCCGCAGUGUGCUCUGGCGUUCCCCGACCCCCCCUCCAAGCAGGUCUCCUUCCCCGCGGUGUGCUCUGGCGUUCCCCGACCCCCCCUCCAAGCAGGUCUCCUUCCCCGCGGUGUGCUCUGGCGUUCCCCGACCCCCCCUCCAAGCAGGUAUCCAGCCCCGCGGUGUGCUCUGGCGUUCCCCGACCCCCCCUCCAAGCAGGUCUCCUUCCCCGCGGUGUGCAACAGCGCUGCAGCGUGGCCACAUCUAACACCACUUGCAGCGCUGGUUGCUGUAAGUGUGGCCACUCUGCAGCGCUGGCCCUAUACAGCUGUACUAAUACAGCUGUAACAACCAGCGCUGCAAAAUUGUAGAUGUAGACAUACCCU